UGGUGCAGAGAGUGCGUGUGGGAGACCGCAGGGCACAGGUCAGGCAGGCCUCCAGUGGCGAUGCAUCUGGCGGGUCCUUGGUGGCAGGCUUGGGCCCUUCGCAGCAGCACAGACAUGACGUGAGAGCUCACGACGUGAGCGCAAACAGAACGGGGCUCACUCUCU
rnacentral:RNase_MRP_RNA from 1 species